AAAUGAAUUGACGGGGACCCGCACAAGUAGCGGAGCAUGUGGUUUAAUUCGAAGCAACGCGAAGAACCUUACCUAAGCUUGACAUACCUUUGCAAAGCUCCCAUAAAAAGAGCUCCUGUAUUUAUACACAAAGGAUACAGGUGGUGCAUGGUUGUCGUCAGCUCGUGUCGUGAGAUGUUGGGUUAAGUCCCGCAACGAGCGCAACCCUUGUGUCAGGUUACCAGCACGUAAAGGUGGGGACUCCAGACAGACAGUGGAUGACAAAUCCAAGGAAGGUGGGGAUGACGUCAAAUCAUCAUGCCCCUUAUGCUUAGGGCUACACACGUGCUACAAUGGUCGGUACAAAAAGCAGCAAACUCGCAAGAGCAAGCGAAUCUAAAAAAACCGAUCCCAGUUCGGAUUGCAGGCUGAAACUCGCCUGCAUGAAGCCGGAGUUACUAGUAAUCGUAGAUCAGAAUGCUACGGUGAAUGCGUUCCCGGGUCUUGUACACACCGCCCGU
rnacentral:rRNA from 1 species